CACGUAGGGACCAAGCGUUGUCCGGAUUUAUUGGGCGUAAAGAGCUCGUAGGCGGUUUGGUAAGUCGGGUGUGAAAACUCAGGGCUUAACCCUGAGACGCCACCCGAUACUGCUAUGACUUGAGUCCGGUAGGGGAGUGGGGAAUUCCUGGUGUAGCGGUGAAAUGCGCAGAUAUCAGGAGGAACACCGGUGGCGAAGGCGCCACUCUGGGCCGGUACUGACGCUGAGGAGCGAAAGCGUGGGUAGCAAACAGG
rnacentral:rRNA from 2 species